rnacentral:lncRNA from 1 species
UUUUUUUUUUAAAGUGAAAGGAAGUUUGGACUGAGAAGUCAAAGUCCUUCCCUCUGUGUGUGGACUUCAGUGGAACUCUCAGGUCACAGAGAUUCAGGGUGGUCAGAGGCGGUUUGAUGUUUUGGGGAGAAAGAACAGCCGUGAAGGAUUCUGUGAUGCAGGAGAAGGUGGGAGGCCUCAGGACAGAAUCAGCAGGUCACCAUGCUUUCCUGCGUCAUCCACCUGUGGGCCUCUAAUGUGUUUCUAUGAAGUUUGCAUUAAAGUUUCAGCCACUAUUUUUCAGAAACAUGGUCAACCUCUCCUUCCCUCCUCUAUCUGCUGAUAGAGUUCUACAGAAAACAAGGGAAUGACUUGAGGAGGUGAGGGGGAUUCUGAAGGUUGUUGGUGGAUUCCUAGAAUGUAGCCCGCAGAACUGUGCCUGGAACGAUACCGGAUCACUGCAAAAGUACAGCGAACAGGGUCGCUUUGAAUAUUAAAGGAGGACUUUUUCAAAGUGUAUAGAGAGCAGUCAAAAGAUCGCCACAGUUGCUCUGUGUUUUCGUGAGCCAGCUUUCUCGGAAGGACUAAGCCAGUGGAUCACAAACAUCCUGGAGAGCAGUGACUCUGUGAUUCCAUCACAAGAAUAUGAAGGACUGAGAAGAUCUCCAGCUCUGCCCAUUGCACCUUCCCAUUGAGAAGCAGCAUGGCACCCUGGUGGCAGGGGCUGAUACUCAGCCGGGCCAGGGUGCUCUCCUGUUAACCAUAACCAAGCUCACAGGACAUGGGAUGAGCCCACUGUGUGACACAGGGAGCGGGACACAGUCUGUUAAGUCUUGCACAGCCAUGCUCUGCCACGCAGGCAGGCCUUUCCUUGGCCUCCCUCUCCCUGUUCGUGCUCAUGUGAACAUCCACCUACGUGGAUAGACUGGGCUUUGGUUCAUUAUUGCUCUGUGAAUUCCUCGAACUUCCGCAUCUGCCCAACCUCCCCCACCCCAUUGUUUUCAUUGUGUUUCACCAAAUGGAAAUUCUAGAGUAAGCAUGUGAGUCCUCUCCCAAACUUGUUCACUGUUGAGAGUGCUAAAAUGCUAACCCCAGAUGCUAACUGAGGGGUAGGGUUACCUUAUCUUUAGAGCACUGCGAAUUGUAUGUUAAGUGGAACUUAAUGAAAAAAUAGUUAAUUGACCAACAUGAAUAUCCCCUGAACAGAAUCUCCCCUGAACAGAAUCCUACAAUGAAACUAAGGGAGAUAAAUAAAGCUGUUUACCUGAAAGCUCUCUCUAAUCAAGAUCCUUUGAAAUUUAUAAAACAUGGUCAAUAUUUGCACUGGACUUUGUAAAAAUAAAGCUUGAUAAGAGAAGA